AGCCUGAGCCCGUCAGCAGGCAGCAUCACCACGGUCGGUGCAGCUGUGGGCCUGACAGGAAGCAGGAGGAAGCACCGACCCACCACCAGGAGAGGAGCUGGUCUCCAGGGUUCUGACGGCUGUGACGGACCCUUCGGACGCUGCUGACGCUGUUUUUUUAUAGAAUCUGAUCCCAGAUCUGCUGUGGAAAAGGAUCCACGUCGCCACCUGGCGGCCAUUGUGUGUAACAGCCGCUGAAGUUAAGACGCUGGCGGCCACGAUUCAUCAGGUUGAGGUCUUUGGUCUUCAGGUUGACCACCUUCAUGGUGGACAUGGAUUGGUCCUCGCUCUCGAUGCUCAGAAUGAAGCGCAGGCUGAGCUGAGACCCCAGGAAGGGCAUGUAGUCAUCAGCCAUCACCGUCGUUGGAGAUGAUGCCGGUGUAGUAAACCACCGAUCCAGACAGGAGGGCGUUCACCAUC
rnacentral:lncRNA from 1 species